ACUUUUAAACUUCGUAUACUGGUAGAAUGUGUUUAUAAAACAUCUUUUUCUCUUGGCUUUAUUGAGAAAAUUUUACAGUUUGUAAGAUAUUUGGUCUUAAUUAUUUAAAUUAUAUAUUAGGGUAUCUGCAAGAUACCACCAUGCUGAAAAUAGCAGCCAUGAUCCGACUCUAAGGUGGUUUCUAGCGCGUAGAGCCAUCUCCUGGAGGAUCGGGGAAAUAUAAUCAUUUAAAGGGGAAUACCUUUUUACAGCAGUGGAAAAUUUAAAUAUUCAUGGUGGUUUAAUUUCGGGCACUGAUGCGUAAGAAUACGGUAAGUUGACAAAGAUUUAUUUUUAGGUUGUAAUAAGAAAAAGUAAUAUUAAGGAAUUUUCCUACGUGUCGUUCGUAAAAUGAUAUAAAAAUUUUAAAAUUUGGCAAUCUUUUGUCUCUAGUAGACCUUUCCGUCGAUUUCCGUAAAAAAAUUAUUAUUUUUUUUUACAUAUGGGCUUGCGGGAACUUUUGAAGUAAUGAGAGCGAAAGAGACUAAGAGAAAGCGAUUGUAUGACGAGGGAAAUUCUUUUGAAGUUACCGUGCAUGUGAAGCAUUGAUGUACAUGUGUGUGUGUGUUUGAUGGGGUGUGGGAGACAGACAGUAUGUUGUGUAAGUGAAGUGCUUCUGUUAGUGUGUGUGAAGAGACAGAGUAAUGUGUGAAAGAAAGAGAUAACUGAAAUUUUUUACUCGGUGUAUGUGUAUAUGUAUGUACAUUACUUCAAAAGUUCCCGCAAACCCAUAUGUAAAAAAAAAAAAAAAUUUUUACGGAAAUCGACGGAAAGGUCUACUAGAGACGAAAGAUCGCCAAAAAGUUGAUCUCAAAACGUAUAUUUCAGUAAAACAUUUCAUAAUUAUAAGUGGAACACACUACGAACAAUGAAUGAAAAGUGAGGGAAGAUGUUUGAGUUAUUUUGAAUAGAGUUUCCCCCUGGACAUAUUUGAGAAUUGUUCAACAAUCCACGGCGAGAACACAAAGUAAUACAAGUAGCUGGAUCUGAGAAAGAUCGAACCAGUAUCGUAAUUGUAAGGCUUUAAUUGAUUAUGGGCUGAUCUGUAAGUAUUUCGUUGGAAUUCACAAUAAAACGAAGAACAGCCAGGUGUCGCCGCAAGACAUACUAAUCGAAAUGAAAUAAAAUUUAGACUAAAACAAAUUCGAUUUUACGGACAUCAAAUAGGAAAUGACCAAUAAUAAUGUUGAAUAGGAAAAUCUGUUUCCUUGUCUUUGACAAUUACUUCCAAAUCGAAAAGUUGAAAGCCUAUUUUUGAUGUUACAUGCGAUGUACAUUAAUUUAAAUGGUUUGUGUUAAUAUAAUAAUAAUAAUAAUAAUAAUAAUAAUAAUAAUAAUAAUUGUGUACAGUGCUCAGGUGCACUACAACUCAUCUAAAGUGUAUAUAUAAUCAGGUGAAGUUUCGGCGGAUUUCGGAAAGCAUGAGGGCCUUAAAAGAUGCAGUGUCAUGGCAGUCAACAACUGACGCAGGCAGUUUAUUCCAUGCUUCAGCAACUCUGAGCGUGAAAAAAUGUUUCCGAAAGUCAUGGGAGCUGUAUUGUUUUCUGACUUUGUAGGCAUGUCCACGUGUGUUAGACACAUGGAGAUCAAAAAGGUGUUUAGUGUUGUUGUUGGUGAGGUGGUUGAUAACUUUGUGGGUGUUUACCAAGUCCGUCGCCAAACACCGGAGCUUCAGUGAAUCCAUGCCCAGGGAAACAAGGCGCUCAGAAUAUGGUAGGUGUCUGAUGGAGGGUAUGCGUUUGGUUGCACGUCUCUGGACAGAUUCCAGGAGGUCAAUGUUCUGUGCAAGAUAGGGGUUCCAAACUGAUGAUGCGAAUUCCAAGUGUGGUCGUACCAUAGCUGUAUACAGUUUUAAAUAGAUGGCUGGAGAGCGGCUAACAAAAGACCUGCUGAGUGAUGCCAAGACACCCUCGGCCUUCCUGACAAUCUUAGAGAUAUGCUUUGACCAACGCAAAUCACUGCUGACAGUGAUGCCUAGGUCACGAUCGCAAGAGGAUUUCUUGAUAUCAGUGUUGUGGAGGGAGUAUGUGAACGCAGGGUUUUUUCUCCCAAAAUGCAUGGUGGUACACUUGUCCACAGCCAGUUUCAGUUGCCAGUCUGUGAUCCAUUGCUGCAUUGUGUCUAGGUCUGAUUGCAGGAAAGAGUUGUAGACAUCAGGAUCUGUCCUCUUGAUUUCAAGGUACAGCUUGAUGUCGUCUGCAUAUUUCAAUACUGUGGCAUUCUUUAAAUUGGCAUCUAUGUCGUUAAUGUAUGCCACAAACAAGAGGGGGCCAAGGACAGAUCCCUGUGGUACACCCGAUGACAUCUCAUAUGGUGUAGAGUGCUGUCCUAGAACUGUGACUACCUCCUUUCGGCUGAGGAUGAAGGAUUUCAACCAGUUAAAAAGGUCAUCCCCCACACCCAUUGCAGAGAGUUUCACCAUAAGCCUUUUGUGUGGCACAGAGUUGAAAGCCUUAGCAAAGUCAAGGUAGACAACAUCCACCCAUGAGCCACUGUCAGUAAUCUGAGUAAUGUCCUCAAGGAACUCGACAAGCUGGUCACUGCAGCUGGAGUUAGGGACAAAUCCAUAUUGUGAGGGUUGGAUGAGACUGUGAGAGCUCCAGAAGUUCCAGAGUGUUUCUCUGACACACGAUUCCAUCAGUUUUGCAAUACAGCUAGUGAGACUGACUGGGCGAUAGUUGACAGGUGAUGUGCGGUCGCCCUUUUUGAACAGAGGAAUGACACUGGCAGUUUUCCACUGCUCCGGAGUAGCACCAUUGUUGAGACAGUACUGGAAGAAAAUAGAAAGCUGGUGUAAAAGGAAGUGCCUGCCACGUUUGAGAAGCAGGUAUGUAACUCCAUCGAGACCAGGGGAGGCAUAGUUGCGCUUAUUUUGAAGGUGACGUCGCAGCAUUGCAGGUGUAAAUUCCAUAGUUGUUAUGGAGUUUGCUGUUAGUGAUGGUGAAGAUGGUACAUUUUGACUUUCAACAGUGAAUAUGUUUGCAUAGCACUCGGCAAUGAGUUCUGCGCAUUCCUUGGGGUCGUCAGUGAUCUGGUUUGUGUGAGGGUUGCGAAGAGGGCCCACUGGAGAGUGAGGUCUCUGCUUUGAGUGCACAUAUUUCCAGAAAACCUUGCUGUCAGGAUUGGCUGCUAUGCACUGUUCAAAUUCAAGCACUGCUUUUUUUGUCACUUGCUUGAGAUGGUUGGAGGAUUUAUUCCGCUUCUUCCUGUUGGUGUCUGAUUUAUGCAACCUGUAUUCCCGUUCAGCAGUCCGACGUUCCCUCCUGGCAAGUCGGACCGCUGAAGUUUCCCAAAUUGCCCUUUUGGGGCGGUUCUUCUUUUUUUGUUUACGUGGCACUGAUGCUGCACAUGCUGCCCAUAUUGAGUCCAGGAUACUCUGGAGUAUAGUAUUCACAUCUCCAGAGUUGUAGAAUUCACGCCAGUUUGGGUGCUGUAGUUCAGUGUGGUACAGGUUCCAAUCUGCUCUCUUCCAAUCGAAGGAAGCAGAUUGGAGAUGGUUCAGGUUUUUGUUGCCCGCAAGAGCCAGAUUGGCGAUGAUCAUAGCAUGAUCAGAGUCACCUAGAGGUUCCUCCGUAGUGCAAUUGAUAACCGCUUCAGGAGUUGUGGUGAAGAGCAGGUCCAAGGUGUUGUCGCCUCUUGUUGGAGAGGUGACUACUUGUGACCAGUUUGAGUCCGGCGUAAUUGAUAAAUAAAAUGAGAGGAAAGCCAGUGAAAAAUAUAUUAAUCGGUUAAUCUACAAUUUAAGACAUGGUCACCUAAAAAAAAAACCCAGCCUACUAUGUGUAGAAGACGAAUGUGUAAAAAUAAAAUUUACGCAAACGAACGUGGAUUAUUAUUAUUAUUAUUAUUAGGAUCUUUUCGGUUUGACCGGCAGUUUUUUAAAAAUAAUUUCCACGUAACUAAACACUUUUAAACUUCGUAUACUGGUAGAAUGUGUUUAUAAAAUAUCUUUUUCUCUUGGCUUUAUUGAGAAAAUUCUAUAGUUUGUAAGAUAUUUGUUGUCGUUUUUUUUUUCAAUUUCUGCAAUUUCAACCUAUCAAUGAUGGUGAAAAACCUUCUGUGCCGUAUGAAUAUGUCCCUCGUUUAAGAAACAGAUUGGGUUUAUUUACAUUUCUGAAGAAAAAAAGAUACCCUUCCCCCCACCCCUAACCCUAAAACAGAUUGAAAUGCAAUAGAUCGAUACUAGGGUCAUAAUUAUGUCCACGGGUGUUAGACAGGUGGAGUUUGAAAAGGUGCUCAGAGUUAUUGUUUGUAAGAUGGUUUAUUUUUUUUAUGUGAACCCUUCCAAGUUAUAGUAUUCACAUGGAAUCAAAGACACAUAAGAACUUUGGUAAAAUAUGGUUCUCUGUUCUUAGAUGUAUCAAGCUUUGCUUUUUCUGAAAGAUAUGAGGAGAUAACUUUAGACUGGCCAUACCUAAACAUUUGUUUAGGUAUGGCCAGUUUUUCAACACCUCAAUGAAUUCCGACCCAUGUGAAAAUAGGCAUUAAAUGGAUGACAGUGAUGAUGCAGUAAUAUUUGCAAUGUUCAAUUACUUUAUCAUUUAUCUUCUACUCUUUAUCUCACUGUUUCUUUUCUUAUUUCAGAAUAUCCCACCUUGUUGACGUCAAAGAAAUGUCUUCAUUGAGAUGUGCCUCUGAUGUUUUUAUCAACUUUUAUUGACUAAAGAAAGACGAUAUAUUUAUAAGGAGCAUUCAUCAACACAUCAAUCUCUUUAUAUAAAUAAUAUCUAUGACAAACAACAGUGAAAUAUUUUUCUUGUCUUCACUGUCUGGAAUGUAGAGGAGGUGAUUGCUU
rnacentral:lncRNA from 1 species